rnacentral:rRNA from 1 species
AACGAACGCUGGCGGCAUGCCUAACACAUGCAAGUCGAACGCCUGUAGCAAUACAGGAGUGGUAGACGGGUGCAUAACACGUGGGAACCUACCCUUGGGUUCGGAAUAACCGCGGGAAACUGCGGCUAAUACCGGAUACGUCCUCUGGGAGAAAGAUUCAUCGCCCUUGGAGGGGCCCGCGUCGGAUUAGCUAGUUGGUGAGGUAACGGCUCACCAAGGCGACGAUCCGUAGCUGAUCUGAGAGGAUGAUCAGCCACACUGGAACUGAGACACGGUCCAGACUCCUACGGGAGGCAGCAGUGGGGAAUAUUGGACAAUGGGGGCAACCCUGAUCCAGCAAUGCCGCGUGGGUGAUGAAGGCCUUCGGGUUGUAAAGCCCUUUUGGCAGGGACGAUGAUGACGGUACCUGCAGAAUAAGCCCCGGCUAACUUCGUGCCAGCCGCCGCAGUAA